GUGGGGAAUCUUAGACAAUGGGCGCAAGCCUGAUCUAGCCAUGCCGCGUGAGCGAUGAAGGCCUUAGGGUUGUAAAGCUCUUUCGUGGGGGAAGAUAAUGACGGUACCCCAAGAAGAAGCCCCGGCUAACUCCGUGCCAGUAGCCGCGGUAAUACGGAGGGGGCUAGCGUUGUUCGGAAUUACUGGGCGUAAAGCGCACGUAGGCGGACCAGAAAGUCAGAGGUGAAAGCCCGGGGCUCAACCCCGGAACUGCCUUUGAAACUCCUGGUCUUGAGGUCGAGAGAGGUGGGUGGAAUUCCGAGUGUAGAGGUGAAAUUCGUAGAUAUUCGGAGGAACACCAGUGGCGAAGGCGGCCCACUGGCUCGAUACUGACGCUGAGGUGCGAAAGCGUGGGGAGCAAACAGGAUUAGAUACCCUAGUAGUCC
rnacentral:rRNA from 1 species